rnacentral:tRNA from 4 species
GGGACUAUAGUUUAACGGUCAGAACAUAUGAUCGAUAAUCGUAUAGCGGUGGUUCGAUUCCUCCUAGUCCUA